GUGGGGAAUAUUGCGCAAUGGGCGGAAGCCUGACGCAGCGACGCCGCGUGAGGGAUGACGGCCUUCGGGUUGUAAACCUCUUUCAGCUCUGACGAAGCGUGAGUGACGGUAGGAGCAGAAGAAGCACCGGCCAACUACGUGCCAGCAGCCGCGGUAAUACGUAGGGUGCAAGCGUUGUCCGGAAUUAUUGGGCGUAAAGAGCUCGUAGGCGGUUUGUCGCGUCGAAUGUGAAAUCCCGGGGCUCAACCCCGGGUCUGCAUUCGAUACGGGCAGACUAGAGUUCGGUAGGGGAGUCUGGAAUUCCUGGUGUAGCGGUGAAAUGCGCAGAUAUCAGGAGGAACACCGGUGGCGAAGGCGGGACUCUGGGCCGAUACUGACGCUGAGGAGCGAAAGCGUGGGGAGCGAACAGGAUUAGAAACCCUUGUAGUCC
rnacentral:rRNA from 1 species